rnacentral:lncRNA from 1 species
UUUUUUGAGAUAGAGUCUCGCUCUGUUGCCCAGGCUGGAAUGCAGUGGCGCGAUAUUGGCUGACUGCAAGCUCCGCCUCCCGGGUUCACGCCAUUCUCCUGAGUAGAGUAGCUGGGACUACAGGCGACCGCCACCACACCCAGCUAAUUUUUUUGUAUUUUUUUUAGUAGAGACGGGGUUUCACCGUGUUGGCCUGGAUGGUCUCGAGCUCCUGACCUAGCUACCUGCCUGCCUCAGCCUCCCAAAGUGCUGGGAUUACAGGGGUGAGCCACCACGCCCGGCCCAAGUCUGCUAUCUCUAUUCCAACAAGGCUGGUGAUGAAUACCAACAGUAACCCUGAGAAGUUCACCUUUGUCCCUUCCACUCAGCCCACUGUGUGCCAUACUGGGAACUGAAGAACUAGCCUCAGGAAAUUGCCACAGCUGCUCUGACCUCCAGCGACCACCACCCUGAUCAAUCAGCAGCCUUUAGCACUGAGGCCACACUAUCCACCAGCAAAGAUAUUAGAUUAAGACUCACUGAGGCUCAGAUGAUCAGUAGCAUUUUUCAUCUGCAUCUUGUUAUUGUGCCGCGAGAAAUAGCAGCCUGACCCUCAGUUUGAUCCGGGAUAAAAAUUUGGCACACAAGCCAGGAAUUAAGGACAGUGCUGCAUUCAGCGGCUGGCAACUUGCUAUGAGACAGUCUUCAGGAGGAUCCCAGAAGCUGCUGGGUGAGGUUUCCCCCGGGACCCUCCAGAGGGCUGUUGUGCGCAAAUCUGCAUGUCCUUUUCACUACUGAGGAGAAACAGAGAUCAGGAGCAGAUGCGCUCAAAGGAGUCAAGGAAGCUUUUCUUUUGUGCUAUUAACAGAUUUUAACAAUUAAGUAAAGUAUACUCCUAUGAACAAAAUUUGGAGCAUAUUUGUUUCUCUCUGCCUUGUCCCUCUAGAAUUUGGAAACUAUCUGUGAGUAUUCUUAAUUUAUGGCAAUAUAGUUAUUUGCAUAAGUGCAAUAAAAAUCUGUUUUCUUUUGUAACAUGUCACAAUUGGAACACCUGGUUAUUUUAAC